GUGGUCAAAUGAACUCCGUUUUGGUCGAUUCAAAAGUCAAAACGCUCGUCUCAAAGUCCUCUAACUACCCUCCGAAUUUCAUAAUUUUUGGACUUCGUUAAGGAUAUAAAACACCCGUGAAAAUUACUAGCCCUGUUUUGGACGAAAAUUAGCAUUAAUAAUUUAUGGCCUAUUUUAUUAAUGUGCAAACUCAGCCCAGCCUUUAAAACAGCCCAGCCCAACACGUUAAAGGCCCAGCCAGUACCCAUACACGUUGAUCACGCCCAAACUUGCUCUCUACAUUAGAUUUCUUGUACACCAAAAAUAUCUUCUACUUGCUGUCCAAGGAAUUUCAUCCAGCCAUUGAUCAUUCUUGCUACCCAAGAAUAAAUCCCACCCUUUGAUUCUUCUUGCUGCCCACGCCUGGAUUCACAGCCAUUGAUCAGCUUUGAUGCAAGCAAUCUCAACCACCCGUUUCAGUAUAAAGAGAAGCAAAUUUCCCCUUUAGUUCAUCGCACAGUUUCUUCUUCUUCUUUCUUUUUCGGUUUGCAGCAACUCUUCCUCCGCUUGCUUCUUCUCUAAAAUUCUGCAGUGUUUUCCUGGUUUUUACAGCAAGAUCCCAUGUGUCUCUGUCUCUCAAUCUGCAGCAAAACAGCAACCCAAGACUCUCAAAUCAGUCACGGCCAGCAACUUCUGCAGAAACUCUUCCUUUGAGUUUCACAGCAGCUCUUAAAACCCGAAAAAAACAACCCAUCUUCUCCUUCCUUUUACAAUUGCAGAAAAUUUCCUUAAAAACCCUCUAUUCUCUUGUCCAGAACAGCAAAGGAAUAGGAUCCUCUCACCGUGGGUAAAAAGUAGCUAAAAUACUGCUCAGAAAAUACCAGAUGACACUGUAGACUGGAGUCUUUUCGUUAUGGAUGGCAUAGACCCUACCCCUAAGAGCAAUAGAUCAAUAAAGACCGGCCUAACUUUUGUAUUGUGCAUAUUUAUUUUGAAUUUCUGAAAAUAUGAUGUAAUAAUUAAAGAACUACUAUGUAUAUAUUCUUAUAAUGAAAUAUAGCCAUGCGCUAUUCCUGGGAAAUUGUGUGCAUGUUUUAGAUUAUAGAGAUGUUUUAUAGCUCAAGUUCGCGUUCCCCUUAUAUCCCAAAACGGGGGCGUGACAUAUGCAAUCUAGGAACAAGUUUUGUUCUGCCCCUUAUUUCUCUUGAGAGAGCAUUGCAGGUACUUAUUGGGGAAGACAGAAAAAGUAGGUCGAGCGACUAUUUUUCUGUAUUGGCAUCAUCGAGCUCUCACAGUGUGAAGCGUCCGGACGGCCUCUCAUAGCAUCCGGAUGGGUGUAGAUCAGACGGCCGGACGUUACUCUUGUACGUCCGGACGCAUGCGGCUCAGACGGCGGGACGGUAAGGUUAGACGUCCGGAAGCGAGCGACCUGUCCGCAUGUUUCUAACGCAGCGCGCGUCCGGACGGUGUUAAUAAAUCGUCCGGACGAGGACCCCAUAGGAUCUAUAAAAAGCCCUGGCUGCCGCAUUCUCACCCUACCCCACCAAAAAUCUCUCUUUUGGCUUCUAGUGAGUGAUUUCUCGCGAGUUUUUUGCAUUAUCUUGUCCUCUCUUGUCUUUUUGUGCAUUGCUCCCUCAUUCUAGGUAUUCUUCUAGCCUUAUUCGUUUUAGUUCUUUUUAAACUGUUAGAUUUUGAUUAAUUAGGGAAUGUUGUUGAGUCUUUCCAAUGCAUAUUUGUCAUAUCUGCUGUUAUCAUGGACUGUUAUUUUUGGAAAAAAAAUAUUUUACUGCUGUCAUAAUGUCGGAUUUUUGCACUAACAUGAUUAUUUCUUUUGGAUUAUUAUUUUUGGCAAAUCUUGUUGAUUUAUUUUGCAGAACCAUGUCAGCAGGCAAUCCACAGUGCAGAGUACGCCAGAGGACAGAGGGAGAUAGGGCAGCUCUCAGAGCCAAAAUUAUGGGCCUCCCAAUCAUUGCCGAGUGGAAUGUGGUCCGUUCUGAUAUUAUGGUGGCUCCUCUGGAUAGUAUCCAUGACACUAUCCAGACCUAUCAUUAGGGAUAUCUUCACAGCUGUGCCUGUGUGGUGUACACCAGAUCGGUUAGACUUUUCUAUGCCAACCUCGAAGUGGUGCAGGACAAUGACCGCGGGUUGAUGCUUCAGUCCACUGUUCUUGGGCAUACUAUCACUGUUGAUCCCCAGAUCAUCAGUCAGUUCAUUGGAGUUCGUGUUCUCCAACUUUCCGUGAGCCCUUACAAUGAGGUGGUACUGCCUCCAUCUAUGGAAGAUCUCCGAGAGUUCUUCCACGCAGUUCCACAGGGAGAGGAGCGUUCCACCACCAUCAAGAUCGGUGCCUUAUCCGCCCCUCAUCGUAUGUUGGCCAAGAUUGUUCAGCACAACUUAUGUGCAGUUGUCAGGCGCAGUGACCUGAUUUUGAAGAGAGCUCAGUUUGUCUACACCAUUCAUCUUCACUUGCCCUUCUGCUUGUGCAAGCAUAUUUUGGGCGUUAUCAUAGAGGCCCGUGAUGAGAGCAAUACCGGUCUUCCCUUCGGCUGCCUGCUCACUCAGAUUAUUCUACAGUCAGGCUUAAGUAUUGCUGGUGAGCCGAAGAUGAAGAUCCAGGAUCCACUCAGCAAGCAGACGCUGAUGAAGUCAAAUGCUCAGCUGCGGAGAAAUGAUCUAAAUGACAAUGAUGUGCCCCCGCCUCCUCCUAUUCCUCUAGGCAUACCGAGUAAGGCUUCCUCUUCCAAGACUGCACCGCUACCACAACCAGAUGUUAGCUAUUCUCAUAUUAUGGAGGCUCUGGCAGCUAUCCAGGGGGCAUGAGUUCCUUGCAACUGUCUAUGUCCUCCAUGUAGCAGUCCAUCUCUACCAUGCAGCAGGAGGUUCACUCCAUCAACCUCCGGGUAGAGCAAAACCAGCAGGACCUCCAGGAGUGCCUCAAGUUCCACCAUCCAUCCAGCAGUGAUGACGAGGAAGAUGCGCCGAUGGCCGAGGAUGCUUGAGCUUCUUUGUGUUUUGUAGUUAUCUUAUUUUCUUUUAAGACAUUUGUGUUCUAUUUUGCUACUUUUGUUAAACUCCUGGAUUAUAUUACUCUGUUUACCCUGGUCCUUCUGAGACCUUUAGGGGGAGUAAUUUUUGUUGUGGAUGAUUUUUAUAACUCUGUUUUACCCUUUGUCCCUUUGUGACAAAAAGGGGGAGUAAUUUUUAUUUUUGGACCGGGAUUGUAUUUUUAUCCGGUCAAGUGAUUUUUGUCCCAGAAUGGUCAAAGGGAGAGUUUGUUGGUUUGUAAUUGGCUGCAUUAUGUUGGAUAAAAUCACUUCACUGUAAUGAUGUCUUUUAACAGGGAUUCAGCUAUUCAGAAGUGUAUCCAGAAGAUUCUGCAUAGUUUGCAAGUCAGAAAAUUUGGUUAUAAGCUUCGAACUUCUCCAGCUUGGAUCCAUCCGAACGAUUCAGCAGCCCGUCCGAACGACUCUUAGUAUUCGAUCAAGUUUCAGGAUUUCUUUCCAAACACAGAUAUGAGAAGAUUGCUGCAACCGUCCAGACAAUGUGGAAUCCCGUUCGGACGCGCUCAUCCAUAAGGCAAGUAUUGCUAUUCAAAUCCAGACAUCCGGACACCAGCCAGCAUGGUCUGGAUGCGCGAGCAUCAGAUAUGGAAAUUGCGUGCAUCUCAUCAACCAUCCGAACGACCAUCCUCCUAGUCGGGAUGCGCGAAGCCUUUAUAUGGAAAUUACUUGCAGUGGAUGUGCGACCGUCCGGACGACAGUACACCAUCGUCUGGACGCGACUCUCAAACAGGAAAGAUCUUCAGUAAAAUUUUCAGAAUUUCGGUCUCACAGUUGUCUGUCCGAACGGCUCCAAGUUUUAUAAGCCAGACGCUCAUUUGAACUGUCAGCCUAUAAAUAGAGGCCCCUAGGCUUGAGAACAGAAAGAAUUCGGUAUUGAAUUCCACUAGUGCUUAGAGAGCUAUAUUGUGAGGUUAUUGAGCUGAGUUGAUCUCUCUGAAGUCGUUGCUGUGUGUGCUGUUGCUGCGCUUAACUUAAAGUCUAUCUUAGGGGUUGGCCUUAAGGUAAAGAAUUCCAUUGAAGACCCAUUCAGGUAGGAGACCUGGUUGGGAGGCGUUCGUGUUGUGUUACACGUUAGAGAGCAAGGUACGACCACUGCAUCAGGGGUAUGUGAGUGUUACUACUUUGUAUCUAGUCUUGUCUUCUGAAUAGUGGAUAUCUUGGGUUUAGCUCCCCCG